UGUAAGCGUAUACCAAAGUUGUUGCAGUUAAAACGCGCGUAGUCGGAAUUUGGCAGUUCCGGAUGUGUGCACGUCGUGUGCGCACUUCGCGGGGAUUGCUUUUGUGGUCUUGCGUAGGAUGAGGCACUUUUAUUAGUGAACGUCCUCACGCAACCACUUUUUACUGUGAGAAAAUCAGAGUGCUCAAAGCAGGCAUUUGCCGUGAAUGUAUUAGCAUGGAAUAAUAGAAUAGGACUUGGUUCUAUUUUGUUGGUUUGUUGGGACUGAGUAAUGAUUAAGAGGGACAGUUGGGGGCAUUUGUAUUUCGGUGCUAGAGGUGAAAUUCUUAGAUUACCGAAAGACAAACUGCUGCGAAAGCGUCUGCCAAGGAUGUUUUCAUUGA
rnacentral:rRNA from 1 species